GAUGAACGCUAGCUACAGGCUUAACACAUGCAAGUCGCGGGGCAGCAUGGGGGUUGCUUGCAAUCCCCGAUGGCGACCGGCGCACGGGUGAGUAACGCGUAUCCAACCUGCCCUUCACCACGGGAUAACCCGGCGAAAGUCGGACUAAUACCGUAUGUUGUCCAUUGACGGCAUCCGAUUUGGACGAAAGGCUUGGCGGUGAGGGAUGGGGAUGCGUCCGAUUAGCCAGACGGCGGGGUAACGGCCCACCGUGGCUACGAUCGGUAGGGGUUCUGAGAGGAAGGUCCCCCACACUGGAACCGAGACACGGUCCAGACUCCUACGGGAGGCAGCAGUGAGGAAUAUUGAUCAAUGGGCGUAAGCCUGAACCAGCCAAGUAGCGUGCAGGAGGACGGCCCUAUGGGUUGUAAACUGCUUUUAUGCGGGGAUAAAGUGGCCCACGGGUGGGCUUUUGCAGGUACCGCAUGAAUAAGGACCGGCUAAUUCCGUG
rnacentral:rRNA from 1 species